rnacentral:rRNA from 1 species
UAGCCCAGCACUGAAUCCCGUCGUUGUCACGGCGGCGGGAGAUGUGGUGUUCGGGAGGUUCCGCUUUCUCGUCGUUGUCUUCUCCUGUCCAAGUUCGUCUUGAACGGGGCCGUUUUCCCGUAGAGGGUGCCAGGCCCGUAGCGACGGAGGACGGCGGCGAGAGGGACUCUCCUCAGAGUCGGGUUGCUUGAGAGUGCAGCCCUAAGUGGGUGGUAAACUCCAUCUAAGGCUAAAUAUUACCGCGAGACCGAUAGCGAACA